rnacentral:rRNA from 1 species
AAGUCGUAACAAGGUUUCCGUAGGUGAACCUGCGGAAGGAUCAUUAAAGAGUUAGGGUCUUCUAGGCCCGAUCUCCCAACCCUUUGUUUAUUGAACCUCUGUUGCUUCGGCGGUCCCGUCUCACGGCCGCCGGAGGACCGCCGAAAGGNGNCCUCUGGCCAGCGUCCGCCGAUAGCCAACCACUUAAACUCUGAAUAAAUCGUGUCAUAUGUCUAAGUCUAUGAUUAAAUUAAAGCAAAACUUUCAACAACGGAUCUCUUGGUUCUGGCAUCGAUGAAGAACGCAGCGAAAUGCGAUAAGUAAUGCGAAUUGCAGAAUUCCAGUGAGUCAUCGAAUCUUUGAACGCACAUUGCGCCCUUUGGUAUUCCGAAGGGCAUGCCUGUUCGAGCGUCAUUAUCACCCCUCAAGCCCCGUGCUUGGUGNUGGACGGCUUGGUCGCGUCACCGCGACUCCUCCUAAAGACAAUGACGGCGGCCUGUGGUUCCCCCGGUACACUGAGCUUUUAAUUGAGCACGUAUUGGAUAAGGGCACCCGGGACCCGGUCUUCUCCCUUUACCGGGAAAUUUUCAAUGGUUGACCUCGGAUCAGGUAGGAAUACGCGCUGAACUUAAGCAUAUCAAUAAGCGCAGGAAAAGAAACCAACAGGGAUUACCUCAGUAACGGCGAGUGAAGCGGUAAUAGCUCAAAUUUGAAAUCUGGCCUCUUGGGGUCCGAGUUGUAAUUUGUAGAGGAUGUUUUGGGUACCGCCCCGGUUUAAAUUUCUUGGAACAGAAUGUCAAAGAGGGUGAGAAUCCCGUCUUGGACCGGUGGUAGGGCCUGUGUAAAACUCCUUCGACGAGUCGAGUUGUUUGGGAAUGCAGCUCAAAAUGGGUGGUAAAUUUCAUCUAAAGCUAAAUAUUGGCCAGAGACCGAUAGCGCACAAGUAGAGUGAUCGAAAGAUGAAAAGCACUUUGAAAAGAGAGUUAAACAGUAUGUGAAAUUGUUGAAAGGGAAGCGCUUGCAAUCAGACUUGAGCGCGGCGGUUCCCCUGACCUUUUGGUUAGGCUAUUCCGUCGUGUCCAGGCCAACAUCGGUUCUGAGGGUCGGUCAAAGGCCUUGGGAAUGUAUCUACCCACGGGUAGACUUAUAGACCAGGGUGUCAUGCGGCCUCUCGGGACCGAGGAACGCGCUUCGGCUCGGAUGUUGGCGUAAUGGUUGUCAGCGACCCGUCUUGAAACACGGACC